CCCUAGUCAGAAAAUGCUGAGAGCCACAGAAGCCUAGAGAAGGGGAGUGGCAGUUGCCCUGAGAUGGGAACCAGAGAAAGCUAGCAGUCAGGAACCAGCCAGAUACUUCAGGACCAGCACCAGCACCCAGAAACACGGAGACCUCGGACUGGACCACUGCAUGGACUCUGCGCCCUUCUUCAGCUGCAAUCCAGACGGCAUCAUACACCUCUCCCCAGCUCUCUGAACCACUCUCUGAGUCCCCUCUUGGACAAAGGCUGUGACUUCCGUCUUGCUGUGGAUACACUUCUGUGGAGAUAACACGCAGGGCUGUGACAGGAUGCUUCUGCUCUUACACCGAGGAGCAGGUAAAGAAGACAUUCAGCCACAGCUAGAGCUGUCUGCAACAGUCAUCCUCAGUGUUUGAACAGACACAGAAAAACAAACCAACAUUCCCCAAGCCCCUGGCUCUCAUAGGUUCCUCA